CCCACUUGCUCCCAGGUGUGCUUCCGCUUUCUUAAAUAACUGUCUCUUUCCAUGACCUUCGGGGGUAUCUUCAUUUGUUUGUUUUUGUUUUAAAGCACCUUCUUCCAUCAGGCAAGCCUUUGCUAACCUCCAGUGCUGAACCUGCCCGCUUUCUUGGACCCUAACUUAGAAGGCCUGCCUUCCUCUCUUCCUUUUAUCCAUCUUUCUCCUCCUGGCAACUGGCAGAACUUCCAGUUUGCUUGCCCUGUUGUUUUUCUCUCAAAUUCUAACGAGAUAUUCCUCAAGCUCCCUUUUGAGUCAGCGCUUAUAUUCUUUUAUUAAUGAGACUAAGAACCCAUGAAAGGGAACCCUGAAUUCCCUAGUAACAGAGUUACUGAAUUCCUGAUUGUUUUCUGUGGGAAACUCUCAGAGUUGGCCACCGACACAUUUUGAACUGUGUGCCAAAAUUUGUGCACUUCAUGACAAGUGACUCAAAACAGUCCCAGACUACUUCCAGAAACCUCCUGGAACAAUGCUUUCACUCUUCCCUCUCCAGCGUCUUGGCCAAUGCCUGGCACUCAAUAAGCUACCACAAACAGUAGUUGGAUACCCAAAUAAAUGCUUUACAGGGAAUUCUUUUAAUGGUUAAAAUGACCAAUGUUGCAUGUCUGCAUGUUCAAAUUCCUCCUUCUGGAUAAUGCUCAACAAAGUUCUGGGAUUCUAGCUAUUCCUCAAUUCCUGAGCAUAUUCAAUUUCUGAGAAAUUCAAUUCAAUUCAAUUCAAUUUCUGAGAAAAAUACCCUUAUCCACAGUCAUCUAAAUCAUGAAGAAGACAUUGUUUGUUUGUUUGUUUGUUGGCUUUUGCCUUCCCAACAUCUAUUUCCCAAGCUUUGGUUUUUCUUCCUGGAAAUCAUUCUCGGUCCAAGGCAACUAUCACAACACACUUCUUCCUUCCUUUCUUUCUUUCUUUCUUUCUUUCUUUCUUUCUUUUUGACAGAAUUUUCUCUGUGAACAGGCCUGGCUGUCUUGGAACUCACUGUAUAGACCAGACUGGCCUCAAACUCAGAGAUCGACCUGGCUCUGCCUCCUGAAUCCUGGAAUUAAAGGCAUACAGCCAGAAACAAGACAUUUUCUUGACGAGUACAACAUGGCAUAAAAGAAGGAAGGGAAAUGACCAUAUGCAGAAGAGAUGAUGAAACAGGGAACCAGAGAAACCCAAGAGCCAAGAAUUAACAGCAAGAUCUCCCAGUCUAAACCAUCACGGAGAGGGGCUCCUUACAGCUCAUGAAGUUCCACCUUGAAACAUCCCAUCCUAAAAGGAGGAUCCUGGAGACUUGAGAAACAAUUCACAAGUCCCAGAAGUUCCUGAAACCCGAAUCACCAAGGCUCUCCCUCGCAAGGCGAUUAGCCAUUACCUGCUUGACUCAUAACUCUAAUAUUAGAAGCAUAAUCCAUGCUGUGAGCGGCCAAGGAAGUUUUCUGACUGGACACACCUACAGGUAGGACAGUGUGCCCAGUUAGCAGCAUUGCGGUGACAGCGUCGUGCAAAGUCAAAGAGAGUUUUGCCUCUAGGUUAAUGUUUACUUCUGGUAAAAUCUAAGUUCUCACAAUCAACUCACCAGCCACGGCUGAAUCAAUCCAUUCUUCAUUCUAUACUACUCUAUCUCCCAUGGGGGAUAUGCUAGGUUUUUUUUCCUAUCAUCCUGUAAGCAACAUAACUUAAAAACUUACUCUCAAUAGUUGACACUGUUUAUCCCUUUUUCUCAUGUUCCCUUCCUUUCAAUUUCCUAGAGUCUUUGCACAGCUGUUAGAAAUGAGGGCAUUGUGGGUUUCUAUGAUUCUGCUUCGUUCCCUGUUCCAAGACUGUUCCUGCUAACUCCUGAUAUCACCUAUUUAUUAACUUUUCUCCUAGACUCUUGUGGUUAAAAUCAUUUUCUCCAGAACGGUUAUGCAAAUUUGAAAUGUCAUGGCCUACUGCAACUCUUUCAGCCUAGUCACAGGGUGCAUUGGAAAGGUAACACCCUGUCCUUGAGAAGCCUGAAUUCAUGGUCACACCUGAAACACCAAAGGCUUUAGAGGUUGGAAUAGAUCCAGUGUAUAUU